CUCACAGUGAUCACAUCCGGACUCAGAGACCAACAGAACCUAGUUGGAUGACAGGGAACACAGCACUGAGAUGAUUUACAGUGGCUCCGACUUGGACUCUAACUCUGGGGAAGACAAAUACACGUGUUGGAUCAAUGCAGGUGGAAGCUGGAGAGAGGCAGUUGCAAUCAGUGGGUCCUUCUGUUUCCUUUGGAGACGCUGCUCUGUCCUGGAGUCGCUCUGUCUCGAAGAACGCCUGACUGGAGAUCUCCCCACCGUAGAUGCUCUUCCCAGUCAGCCCUGUUACCUGCCCUGCCUGGCUUUUUUCUCAUCUGCCUUGGGACCCAUGCAUCUAAAGAAGAAGUAGAAAAACAACAUAAAUUAAGAAUGCAGUAUUUACAGUACUAUUUCAAUGCCCAAAUAUUGUUUGAAAUACAGCAUUUGCCAAAUAACAUGAGACAUGUAGAGGCUUCUACAUUAGGUGGCAGUACAUGUACGCUAUAUACACUAUAUAGCCAAAAUUUUAAGGACGCCUGCCGUUACAUGCACAUGUAGGUUAAUGACAUCCCAUUCUUAAUCCGUAGGGUUUAAUAUGGAGUUGGUCCACCCUUUGCAGCUAUAACAGCGUCAACUCUUCUGGGAAGGCUGUCCAAAAAGUUUAGGAGUGUGUUCAUGGGAAUUUGUGACCGUUCUUCUUGAAGCGCAUUUGUGAGGUCAGGCACAGAUGAUGGAGGACAAUGCCUGGCUCACAGUUUCUGCUCUGUGAUUUUAUGUGGCCUACCACUAUGUGGCUGAGUUUCUGUUGUUCCCAAUUGCUUCCACUAUGUUAUAAUACCACUAACAGUUGACCGUGGAAUAGUUAGUAGUGAGGAAAUUUAACAAAUGGACUUAAACGCACAGGUGGCAACCUAUCACUGUACCACGCUUGAAUUCACUGAGGCCCUGAGAGCGACCCAUUCUUUCACAAAUGUUUGUAGAAGCAGUCUGCAUGCCGAGGUGCUUGAUUUUAUACUGUUACAAUGGAAGUGAUUGAAACACCUGAAUUCAAUAAUUCAGAGAGGUGUCUUAAAACUUUUGGUAAUAUAGUGUAUGGAGUUCCUGUGACAUAAGCAUUAAGGUGGUGGAUUAAUAUAUUUCCUUAGAUCAUUUCACCAUCUGCUGGUGGGUGCAUUGAAUUACAUGCACAGUCCCACCGAGGCCAAGACUCAACUCAUCUUGAAGAUAAUUCAUCUUUUUGAGGUCCUGCUUUCCCUCCUCCACACUAAUGCAUCAACCACACUUGUGCCAGAGCAUUAGGCUAAAGCUACAUUACAAUUCAGACCUGCCUUGCCUUGAGGGAAUAUGACACAGACCAUUUAUCUUUUUCAUUUCUGAGUAUUCAUAAUCCAGUGAAUUAGUCUGUUGUGGUGACAGCCCGGCUGACGGUGAGUGUCCUGGUUUUUUCUACUUUUUAUCAGUUCUUCUGCUUUUUUCCUUGGUUUCCUGUUCUCUGCCCGCCUCUCUGUGUUUUCUCCCCUGUGUGCU